rnacentral:lncRNA from 1 species
UGUUUUGGCACAGUUGACGACCGUUUGGACUUGCGAAUCAGCCACGGGCGUCACAAUCACCGCGGGCUUAAGGCGCUCGGAUGUAUUGAAACGAGGGUUUCGCAUCGAAAAUUCGUAGGUUGCUGUAUAAGAAGAAUCGGAUGGAGCAAGGACAUUGCUUGCUAAGAUUUUCGAGACUUGCGAAUUCCUAGUAACACAUUUGAUGAAACCAGAAGGAUUGGCUGAAUUCACAUAGGAGAAAGACAAUAGAAAAAGAAGUGAGAUGGGAAAAAGAAUAGAACUAGUAAAAUUCUUCAUAACGGCGUUUAGGUUGUU